rnacentral:rRNA from 1 species
GUAUGACCCACCAAACCUGUACCGUACGGGCCUUGAGAGAGGUGGCCGGACGAUGACACUGAGAGAAGGGUCCAGGUCCUACGGGGCGCAGCAGGCGCGAAACCUUCGCUAUGCGCGAAAGCGUGACGAGGUUAAUCCGAGUGACUCCCGCUGAGGGGUCUUUUGUCAGCUGUAAAUAGGCAGGCGAAUAAGGGGAGGGCAAGCCUGGUGUCAGCCGCCGCGGUAAUACCAGCUCCUCGAGUGGUCGGGGCGAUUAUUGGGCCUAAAGCAUCCGUAGCCAGAUUCCGUAGGUCCUCUGUUAAAUCCAACCGCUUAACGGUUGACCUGCAGAGGAUACCGCGGGACUAGGAGGCGGGAGAGGCGGACGGUACUCCGCGUGUAGGGGUAAAAUCCUUUGAUCCGCGGAAGACCACCAGUGGCGAAGGCGGUCCGCCAGAACGCGCUCGACGGUGAGGGAUGAAAGCUGGGGGAGCGAACCGGAUUAGAUACCCGGGUAGUCCCAGCCGUAAACGGUGCUAGCUAGAUGAUUCAUUCGCAAGUCGCGAAUGAAGUGUCGCAGGGAAGCCGUUAAGCUAGCCGCCUGGGUGUGCGGUCGCAAGA